GAGAAUUAAGGAAUGAGGAAAAUCUGGUGAUGCUGCCCUAAGGUCUUUCUAUAAGAAGAUCAUUUUUUUCAUUCUAGGGAGAUUUUAGGACACCUAAAAAGAGAAACGGCUGAGAUAUUGAUAAGCUGCAGAAUCCUUUCUUCAAAAAGUUUAAUUCUCAUGAUGAACACACACAAUUCAUAGAAAGAAAGACAUCAAUUUCUUCUUUUUUGGUUUUCAUUCGAAGGGUGAAGUACUGUUCUUUAGAUUUCUGGGUUAAGAAGCUGAAGCUUACUUUGAAUCAUUCUUGGUGCUUCUAUUUUGGCUGCUGCAUCUGCUCAUUUUUCGGAAAUUUACUUCUAUUUUGGUUGAUUUUGUUACAAACAGUUCUUGUUAUGCUGGUUCUAAUGACAUGACAUGCAUGUGGAGUUUUUAGCUAGAUCUUGAAAGCCAAUCUAAUCUUGGAAUAAUGAAACAUAGUUUUGAAUAUGAUAAAAGAUGCGUUUGAGGAAACAAAUAAAGAUUCACGCAUUUUGAGAUAACACAAAGCUGGAAUUGAGUGAAACUGAGGCAGUUAGUCUGGGCAAUCAAGAGGUUGAUAAGAGCAUACAACAGAGAAAUAUCUCCCAAACAGUUUGAGGUAGAUCAGUCAGUGUUAAAAUGCAUUCUUCCACGUCAAGCUGAGGCUAAAGGCAAGUUUUCCCCAAACUGGCAGGGGUCGUUCAUUGUAACGGGAGUGUUGCCCCAAUGGUGAUUUUUGUUUAAUAGAUAUAGAAGACAAAUGUGUAGAAAUAACUGUCAAUUCUGAUGCAGUCAAGAGAUAUUGUUAUGAUUU